GAUAAACGCUGGCGGCGUGCCUAAUACAUGCAAGUCGAGCGAACGGACGAGAAGCUUGCUUCUCUGAUGUUAGCGGCGGACGGGUGAGUAACACGUGGAUAACCUACCUAUAAGACUGGGAUAACUUCGGGAAACCGGAGCUAAUACCGGAUAAUAUUUUGAACCGCAUGGUUCAAAAGUGAAAGACGGUCUUGCUGUCACUUAUAGAUGGAUCCGCGCUGCAUUAGCUAGUUGGUAAGGUAACGGCUUACCAAGGCAACGAUGCAUAGCCGACCUGAGAGGGUGAUCGGCCACACUGGAACUGAGACACGGUCCAGACUCCUACGGGAGGCAGCAGUAGGGAAUCUUCCGCAAUGGGCGAAAGCCUGACGGAGCAACGCCGCGUGAGUGAUGAAGGUCUUCGGAUCGUAAAACUCUGUUAUUAGGGAAGAACAUAUGUGUAAGUAACUGUGCACAUCUUGACGGUACCUAAUCAGAAAGCCACGGCUAACUACGUGCCAGCAGCCGCGGUAAUACGUAGGUGGCAAGCGUUAUCCGGAAUUAUUGGGCGUAAAGCGCGCGUAGGCGGUUUUUUAAGUCUGAUGUGAAAGCCCACGGCUCAACCGUGGAGGGUCAUUGGAAACUGGAAAACUUGAGUGCAGAAGAGGAAAGUGGAAUUUCCAUGUGUAGCGGUGAAAUGCGCAGAGAUAUGGAGGAACACCAGUGGCGAAGGCGACUUUCUGGUCUGUAACUGACGCUGAUGUGCGAAAGCGUGGGGAUCAAACAGGAUUAGAUACCCUGGUAGUCCACGCCGUAAACGAUGAGUGCUAAGUGUUAGGGGGUUUCCGCCCCUUAGUGCUGCAGCUAACGCAUUAAGCACUCCGCCUGGGGAGUACGACCGCAAGGUUGAAACUCAAAGGAAUUGACGGGGACCCGCACAAGCGGUGGAGCAUGUGGUUUAAUUCGAAGCAACGCGAAGAACCUUACCAAAUCUUGACAUCCUUUGACAACUCUAGAGAUAGAGCCUUCCCCUUCGGGGGACAAAGUGACAGGUGGUGCAUGGUUGUCGUCAGCUCGUGUCGUGAGAUGUUGGGUUAAGUCCCGCAACGAGCGCAACCCUUAAGCUUAGUUGCCAUCAUUAAGUUGGGCACUCUAAGUUGACUGCCGGUGACAAACCGGAGGAAGGUGGGGAUGACGUCAAAUCAUCAUGCCCCUUAUGAUUUGGGCUACACACGUGCUACAAUGGACAAUACAAAGGGCAGCGAAACCGCGAGGUCAAGCAAAUCCCAUAAAGUUGUUCUCAGUUCGGAUUGUAGUCUGCAACUCGACUACAUGAAGCUGGAAUCGCUAGUAAUCGUAGAUCAGCAUGCUACGGUGAAUACGUUCCCGGGUCU
rnacentral:rRNA from 1 species